rnacentral:rRNA from 1 species
AUUGAACGCUGGCGGCAGGCCUAACACAUGCAAGUCGAGCGAGCGGCGGACGGGUGAGUAAUGUCUGGGAAACUGCGUGUUGGAGGGGGAGAACUACUGGAAACGGUAGCUAAUAUACCAUACCAUAUGAUAUGCACAGAUGGGAUUAGCUAGUGGGUGGGGUAACGGCUCACCUAGGCGAAGAUCCCUAGAUGGUCUGAGAGGAUGACCAGCCACACUGGAACUGAGACACGGUCCAGACUCCUACGGGAGGCAGCAGUGGGGAAUAUUGCACAAUGGGCGCAAGCCUGAUGCAGCCAUGCCGCGUGUGUGAAGAAGGCCUUCGGGUUGUAAAGUACUUUCAGCGGGGAGGCGUUACCCGAAGAAGAAGCACCGGCUAACUCCGUGCCAGCAGCCGCGGUAAUUC